rnacentral:rRNA from 2 species
GCCUAACACAUGCAAGUCGAACGGUAACAGGAAGCAGCUUGCUGCUUUGCUGACGAGUGGCGGACGGGUGAGUAAUGUCUGGGAAACUGCCUGAUGGAGGGGGAUAACUACUGGAAACGGUGGCUAAUACCGCAUAACGUCGCAAGACCAAAGAGGGGGACCUUCGGGCCUCUUGCCAUCAGAUGUGCCCAGAUGGGAUUAGCUUGUUGGUGAGGUAACGGCUCACCAAGGCGACGAUCCCUAGCUGGUCUGAGAGGAUGACCAGCCACACUGGAACUGAGACACGGUCCAGACUCCUACGGGAGGCAGCAGUGGGGAAUAUUGCACAAUGGGCGCAAGCCUGAUGCAGCCAUGCCGCGUGUAUGAAGAAGGCCUUCGGGUUGUAAAGUACUUUCAGCGGGGAGGAAGGUGUUGUGGUUAAUAACCGCAGCAAUUGACGUUACCCGCAGAAGAAGCACCGGCUAACUCCGUGCCAGCAGCCGCGGUAAUACGGAGGGUGCAAGCGUUAAUCGGAAUUACUGGGCGUAAAGCGCACGCAGGCGGUCUGUCAAGUCGGAUGUGAAAUCCCCGGGCUCAACCUGGGAACUGCAUUCGAAACUGGCAGGCUUGAGUCUUGUAGAGGGGGGUAGAAUUCCAGGUGUAGCGGUGAAAUGCGUAGAGAUCUGGAGGAAUACCGGUGGCGAAGGCGGCCCCCUGGACAAAGACUGACGCUCAGGUGCGAAAGCGUGGGGAGCAAACAGGAUUAGAUACCCUGGUAGUCCACGCCGUAAACGAUGUCUACUUGGAGGUUGUGCCCUUGAGGCGUGGCUUCCGGAGCUAACGCGUUAAGUAGACCGCCUGGGGAGUACGGCCGCAAGGUUAAAACUCAAAUGAAUUGACGGGGGCCCGCACAAGCGGUGGAGCAUGUGGUUUAAUUCGAUGCAACGCGAAGAACCUUACCUGGUCUUGACAUCCACAGAAGAAUCCAGAGAUGGAUUUGUGCCUUCGGGAACUGUGAGACAGGUGCUGCAUGGCUGUCGUCAGCUCGUGUUGUGAAAUGUUGGGUUAAGUCCCGCAACGAGCGCAACCCUUAUCCUUUGUUGCCAGCGGUUAGGCCGGGAACUCAAAGGAGACUGCCAGUGAUAAACUGGAGGAAGGUGGGGAUGACGUCAAGUCAUCAUGGCCCUUACGACCAGGGCUACACACGUGCUACAAUGGCGCAUACAAAGAGAAGCGACCUCGCGAGAGCAAGCGGACCUCAUAAAGUGCGUCGUAGUCCGGAUUGGAGUCUGCAACUCGACUCCAUGAAGUCGGAAUCGCUAGUAAUCGUGGAUCAGAAUGCCACGGUGAAUACGUUCCCGGGCCUUGUACACACCGCCCGUCACACCAUGGGAGUGGGUUGCAAAAGAAGUAGGUAGCUUAACCUUCGGGAGGGCGCUUACCACUUUGUGAUUCAUGACUGGGGUGAAGUCGUAACAAGGUAACCGUAGGGGAACCUGCGGUUGGA